rnacentral:rRNA from 1 species
CUUGCUUCUCUUGAGAGCGGCGGACGGGUGAGUAAUGCCUAGGAAUCUGCCUGGUAGUGGGGGAUAACGUUCGGAAACGGACGCUAAUACCGCAUACGUCCUACGGGAGAAAGCAGGGGACCUUCGGGCCUUGCGCUAUCAGAUGAGCCUAGGUCGGAUUAGCUAGUUGGUGGGGUAAUGGCUCACCAAGGCGACGAUCCGUAACUGGUCUGAGAGGAUGAUCAGUCACACUGGAACUGAGACACGGUCCAGACUCCUACGGGAGGCAGCAGUGGGGAAUAUUGGACAAUGGGCGAAAGCCUGAUCCAGCCAUGCCGCGUGUGUGAAGAAGGUCUUCGGAUUGUAAAGCACUUUAAGUUGGGAGGAAGGGUUGUAGAUUAAUACUCUGCAAUUUUGACGUUACCGACAGAAUAAGCACCGGCUAACUCUGUGCCAGCAGCCGCGGUAAUACAGAGGGUGCAAGCGUUAAUCGGAAUUACUGGGCGUAAAGCGCGCGUAGGUGGUUUGUUAAGUUGGAUGUGAAAUCCCCGGGCUCAACCUGGGAACUGCAUUCAAAACUGACUGACUAGAGUAUGGUAGAGGGUGGUGGAAUUUCCUGUGUAGCGGUGAAAUGCGUAGAUAUAGGAAGGAACACCAGUGGCGAAAGCGACCACCUGGACUAAUACUGACACUGAGUGCGAAAGCGUGGGGAGCAAACAGGAUUAGAUACCCUGGUAGUCCACGCCGUAAACGAUGUCAACUAGCCGUUGGAAGCCUUGAGCUUU